GGGGCGUUAGCGCAGUUGGUAGCGCGCUUCAAUGGCAUUGAAGAGGUCACCAGUUCGACCCUGGUACGCUCCACCA
rnacentral:tRNA from 3 species